GACGAACGCUGGCGGCGUGCUUAACACUUUCAAGUCGAACGGUCCUGCCCUGCUUUUGUGGGGUGCUCGAGUAGCCAACUGUUGCUUAACACGUGAGUAACCUGCCCUUGACUUUGGUAUAACUUCAGGAAACUGGGUCUAAUACCGGAUAGGAGCUCCUGCUGCAUGGUGGGGGUUUGAUCGUUUCGGCGGUUGGGGAUUGACUCGCGGCUUAUCAGCUUGUUGGUGGGGUAGUGGCUUACCAAGGCUUUGACGGGUAGCCGGCCUGAGAGGGUGACCGGCCACAUUGGGACUGAGAUACGGCCCAGACUCCUACGGGAGGCAGCAGGGGGGAAUAUUGAAAAAUGGGCGGAAGCCUGAUGCAGAAACGGCGCGUGCGGGAUGACGGACUUCGGGUUGUAAACCGCUUUCGCCUGUGACGAAGCGUGAGUGACGGUAAUGGGUAAAGAAGCACCGGCUAACUACGUG
rnacentral:rRNA from 1 species